rnacentral:rRNA from 1 species
CCUACGGGAGGCAGCAGUGAGGAAUAUUGGUCAAUGGACGAGAGUCUGAACCAGCCAAGUAGCGUGAAGGAUGACUGCCCUAUGGGUUGUAAACUUCUUUUAUAUGGGAAUAAAAUGUUCCACGUGUGGGAUUUUGUAUGUACCAUAUGAAUAAGGAUCGGCUAACUCCGUGCCAGCAGCCGCGGUAAUACGGAGGAUCCGAGCGUUAUCCGGAUUUAUUUGGUUUAAAGGGAGCGUAGGUGGAUUGUUAAGUCAGUUGUGAAAGUUUGCGGCUCAACCGUAAAAUUGCAGUUGAAACUGGCAGUCUUGAGUACAGUAGAGGUGGGCGGAAUUCGUGGUGUAGCGGUGAAAUGCUUAGAGAUCACGAAGAACUCCGAUUGCGAAGGCAGCUCACUGGACUGCAACUGACACUGAGGCUCGAAAGUGUGGGUAUCAAACAGGAUUAGAUACCCUUGUAGUC